CUGAGAAGUUUCGGGUGAAAUCCCCCGGCUCAACCGGGGAAGUGCCUGGAAAACCAUCGGACUGGAGUGCUGGAGAGGCAAGCGGAAUUUCUGGUGUAGCGGUGAAAUGCGUAGAUAUCAGAAGGAACAUCGGAGGCGAAGGCGGCUUGCUGGACAGACACUGACGCUGAGGCGCGAAAGCUAGGGGAGCAAACGGGAUUAGAUACCCCGGUAGUCCUAGCUGUAAACGCUGGGUACUUGGUGUAGGGGGUUUUAAAAGUCCCUCUGUGCCGGCGAUAACUCGUUAAGUACCCCGCCUGGGGAGUACGAGCGCAAGCUUGAAACUCAAAGGAAUUGACGGGGGCCCGCACAAGCGGUGGAGCAUGUGGUUUAAUUCGACGCAACGCGAAGAACCUUACCGGGGUUUGAACUGUGGUGGAAGCCGGCAGAGAUGUCGGUGUCUUUCGAGACUGCCACAGAGGUGCUGCAUGGCUGUCCGUCAGCUCGUGUCGUGAGAUGUUGGGUUAAGUCCCGCAACGAGCGCAACCCUUGUCUGUAGUUGCCAUCAGGUGAAGCGGGCACUCUACGGAGACUGUCGGCGAGAAGCCGGAGGAAGGUGGGGAUGACGUCAAGUCCUCAUGGCCUUUAUGUCCCGGGCUACACACGUGCUACAAUGGGCGGUACAAAGAGCAGCCAACUCGCGAGAGUGAGCGAAUCUCAAAAAGCCGUUCUCAGUUCGGAUUGCAGUCUGCAACUCGACUGCAUGAAGGUGGAAUCGCUAGU
rnacentral:rRNA from 1 species